GAUAUUCAGCUUUCCUUCCUCCCGUAAUCCCCGCCGUCUCUCUCUCCUCGCUCCGGCGGGUUGGCCGGUCGCCGGUUGCCGGAGCCGCCUGCCCUGCCCUCUCCGGCCGGCGGGAAGCCGCCAUUAUCGCUGGUGGAACGCGGCGUUGACCGAGGGAUGCGGGUGGAGGGCGGCCCGGCCGCAGAACGGGGGAUGAAUGCGGUAGGGGACGCCGACGGCGGCGGUGGCUAGGGUUGGGGAACUCACUGCUGCUCUCCUUCGAUCGCGCCGCCGUUGCCCGUCGUCGAGUUGGGCGACGACCAGGGGCAGGUAUACAUGCCUCGUUCCCCAUCAUUUCCUGCCAAUUUUGUACCUCUUCUGUUCAGAUGUCGCCGUAGUGAUCGUAGUGUGGUUGAUCAGUUUGAUCAAUGUUGAUUGUAUGGAAGAACACCCAGAUCCCUUCAUAAAUUUGGAGCUAUAAUAAUUUGGUGAAUUGAUUGGUGUG
rnacentral:sRNA from 1 species